GCCCGGAUGGUGAAAUUGGUAGACACGCUAGGUUCAGGGUCUAGUGGCUGCAAGGCUGUGCUGGUUCAAGUCCAGUUCCGGGCA
rnacentral:tRNA from 1 species